rnacentral:lncRNA from 1 species
CUGAUAGUCGGACAUGAUGGCUACGCCUUCAACCCGAAGAAAAGGAAAAAAACAUGAAUCUGCUGUGUUAGGCGUAGAGGUACAAGCCUGUGAUCCUAGCGCGCAACUGGCAGAGGCAGAAGCUUGAGUUCUAGCCCGGCCUGGGCAUUGCCUAGAUCUUCUAAAUAAAGUAAAAUGAAAUAUUUGAUGUGAUAGUGGGGUAAUGAAGAGAACCUGCUUUGUGCUUCACUUCUAUUUCCAGACAGUUGCCUGAACG